rnacentral:tRNA from 1 species
AUUUAUAUAAUAUAAAUUAGUAUAUUUAUUUUCCAAAUAAAAAGUUUUAUUAAUAAAUAUAAAUA